rnacentral:rRNA from 1 species
AUUGAACGCUGGCGGCAGGCCUAACACAUGCAAGUCGAACGGCAGCGGGGGGAAGCUUGCUUCCCCGCCGGCGAGUGGCGGACGGGUGAGUAAUGCCUGGGGAGCUGCCCAAUCGAGGGGGAUACCAGUUGGAAACGACUGCUAAUACCGCAUACGCCCUGAGGGGGAAAGGUGGGGAUCUUCGGACCUCUCGCGAUUGGAUGCACCCAGGUGGGAUUAGCUAGUUGGUGAGGUAACGGCUCACCAAGGCGACGAUCUCUAGCUGGUCUGAGAGGAUGACCAGCCACACUGGAACUGAGACACGGCCCAGACUACUACGGGAGGCAGCAGUGGGGAAUAUUGCACAAUGGGGGAAACCCUGAUGCAGCCAUGCCGCGUGUGUGAAGAAGGCCUUCGGGUUGUAAAGCACUUUCAGCGAGGAGGAAAGGGUGGCAGCUAAUACCUGUCAUCUGUGACGUUACUCGCAGAAGAAGCACCGGCUAACUCCGUGCCAGCAGCCGCCGUAA